GAACACGCUGUUGUACAAUCCGCCCAAAGCUCAGAUUUCCGUACAGUUGACAGGAAAGUAGGAGUGUGUUCAUGACGCCACAUGAAGUGACAACAGCCUGGGACACCGGCAGUUUGUACUACAGGUUAACCGACAGUGAGGCUGAGCAGCAUGAUUCCACUGAAGCGACGUCUCAGCCACGGCGCUGCAACAAUUUCCACAGCCCUUUUCUAUCAGCCCGCUCCACAAACCAGUAGAGGGAGUCCAAGACUUGAAUCCUGUUUAUACCUUUUGGGCCUCGAGAAAUGAAGCUUUCUACGUGCUCUCCGAGCUGAGAGAGGCAGGUCAGCUGAAGGACGCCUACGCAGGACUGGAUGCUCUGGCUGCUGCCAAAAUCAAAGCUGUCACCUUCUGACUGGCACCAGACCACCACACCAUUAUCAACACAGGGUGGUGACACCAUGCAUUAAUCUAUUUGGAAAUGUUGUCUGGCAAAAGUAAUGCAACAUGUUGCUUUCUGUAUGCAGCUCUCCAUCCAUAGGUGUUGGAAAUGACGGAUAGUUUUGUGGAACACACUGGCUUCAUAAUGCCAGGCUUAGAUUUAGAGCCACUGUAAUCUACAGUCAGCACUUCUGUCAGACCCUUAAUGGUUUUACUGCACUCUGUAUAGCUGAAAAUGGCUGCAUUAUUGUAUUUGCUCGGUGGACACACAGAUAUAUUCACGUAUGCAGGAACACACACACGCACGCACACAUGCACAGACGCAGUACAAUAAUGACCUUGACUAAGUAGCUCUCCAAAUUGCAAGUGACUUUUAGAGCACUCUGCCUUUCUCUGCAUUUGCCUCAGCCACAUUCCCUCUUCACACGGCGUCUCUUGCUGGUGGACAGUGUGUGUGUGUGUGUGUGUGUGUGUGUGUGUGUGUGUGUGUGUGUGUGUGUGUGUGUGUGUGUGUGUGUGUGUGCCUGCAUGUUUCUAUGUGUUUUUGUGUUUUAUCAGGACACAGAUUGUUUUCAAGUUGUGCAGGGGCAAGACUGAAAGCAGGUGAGACCUCAGUGUGGAUCCUGUAAAGGAGCUGUCUUCAGGCUACAACUGUGAGUCUGGUAAAUGUGUUAAUUAGAAAAAUCUCCAGUGUUUCUGGGUAAUAUCUCAAACCUUUGGUGUUCAGUUUCUAAAAGUAAGAGAUAAUAAAUAUCAUGACAAAAUAAAUAUAUUUAACCAGGUCAUCUUGGUUACCAAGGUGAAAUGUACAACAUUGACUGACACUAGACAUUGUUAGAGAGCGUUCGUGUUGUUCAUGCAAUGAGGUUGUGAAAACAAGUAAACGUCAUCUGAAGACAAACUAAUUCUUCCAAAUGUUUCAGGGUUGAGAUUGUAACUUUAAAAACAUAUUCAGACGCAGUUACUUCUUAAUGAAUGUGGUAAAUUACAUAAUCCAAGUAUCAAUAUAUUCUGAUUUUGAAAUUUGAGUACUUUCUGUCACUUUUGGAUUACCUCAAUAUCAAACAUGCAAAUAAAGACCUCAGUAAUCCCUUUUUACUGAAUGUAUCUGUAAUCUAGUAACAUCUUUUUUAUAUUAUACUCAAACUGUACCAGAAUGUGCCUUUUUUUGUAUCCUGAUUACAAAAUCCCAUUACAUGUAUUCCAUUACUCCA